AGCGAACGCUGGCGGCAGGCCUAACACAUGCAAGUCGAACGAACCUUUCGGGGUUAGUGGCGGACGGGUGAGUAACACGUGGGAACGUGCCUUUAGGUUCGGAAUAACUCAGGGAAACUUGUGCUAAUACCGAAUGUGCCCUUCGGGGGAAAGAUUAAUCGCCUUUAGAGCGGCCCGCGUCUGAUUAGCUAGUUGGUUGAGGUAAUGGCUCACCAAGGCGACGAUCAGUAGCUGGUCUGAGAGGAUGAUCAGCCACAUUGGGACUGAGACACGGCCCAAACUCCUACGCGAGGCAGCAGUGGGGAAUCUUGCGCAAUGGGCGAAAGCCUGACGCAGCCAUGCCGCGUGAAUGAUGAAGGUCUUAGGAUUGUAAAAUUCUUUCACCGGGGACGAUAAUGACGGUACCCGGAGAAGAAGCCCCGGCUAACUUCGUG
rnacentral:rRNA from 1 species